rnacentral:pre_miRNA from 17 species
CCUGGGUCAGGGUUGACUGCUGUCGGAGGCUCUGACGAUAUUGCACUACUGUACUCACAGUUAAGCAGUGCAAUAGUAUUGUCAAAGCGUCAGGCACCAGAGAGCGAGCUCCCGUCGA